rnacentral:rRNA from 1 species
GACGAACGCUGGCGGCGUGCUUAACACAUGCAAGUCGAACGGAAAGGCCCCUUUGGGGGUACUCGAGUGGCGAACGGGUGAGUAACACGUGAGUAACCUGCCCUUGACUUCGGGAUAACUUCAGGAAACUGGGGCUAAUACCGGAUAGGAAUCCUUGCUGCAUGGUGGGGGUUGGAAAGCUUCGGCGGUUUUGGAUGGACUCGCGGCUUAUCAGCUUGUUGGUGGGGUAGUGGCUUACCAAGGCUUUGACGGGUAGCCGGCCUGAGAGGGCGACCGGCCACAUUGGGACUGAGAUACGGCCCAGACUCCUACGGGAGGCAGCAGUGGGGAAUAUUGCACAAUGGGCGGAAGCCUGAUGCAGCAACGCCGCGGGCGGGAUGACGGCCUUCGGGUUGUAAACCGCUUUCAGCAGGGGAGAAGCUUGUGGUGACGGUACCUGCAGAAGAAGCACCGGCUAACUACGUG